AUGAAUUUAUUGCUACAAGUAUAUAAUUAUCAGUUUCUUUAUUCAGCCAACUUGUUAGUUCAUUUUUUGCUAAAGGAAAAGAAAUUCCAAUGAUCGUUAAAGAAGAAAUAAAGCAAUUACUGAAUAUACCUGCCUCGAUCGUCCCCAGGCGCUAAUAAAAAUUUUUUUGUGAGUCACUAUAUGAAAGGUUUACAUGAAGUAGUGCAUUGCGACGAAUAAGCGCAGGGGUUUAUGGGCUUCAGGCAGCGAAAAUUGAGGAGCGGCUAGGGGAUUUGUGUCCUUUCUUCGUCUGAGGAUUUCAAUUACGAG
rnacentral:lncRNA from 1 species